UCCAUGCCGCUAGCUGAGAUGAUGAUGUCUA
rnacentral:piRNA from 1 species